rnacentral:rRNA from 1 species
GAUGAACGCUAGCGGCAGGCUUAAUACAUGCAAGUCGAGGGACAGCACAGGUAGCAAUACUGGGUGGUAACCGGCAAACGGGUGCGGAACACGUACACAACCUUCCUUUAAGUGGGGGAUAGCCCAGAGAAAUUUGGAUUAAUACCCCGUAAUAUAGUUGAAUGGCAUCAUUUGAUUAUUAUAGCUACGGCGCUUAAUGAUGGGUGUGCGGCUGAUUAGAUAGUUGGCGGGGUAACGGCCCACCAAGUCUACGAUCAGUAGCUGAUGUGAGAGCAUGAUCAGCCAAAAGGGCACUGAGAGACGGGCCCGACUCCUACGGGAGGCAGCAGUAAGGAAUAUUGGUCAAUGGACGCAAGUCUGAACCAGCCAUGCCGCGUGAAGGAUUAAGGUCCUCUGGAUUGUAAACUUCUUUUAUUUGGGACGAAAAAGGGCCUUUCUAGGUCAACUGACGGUACCAGAUGAAUAAGCACCGGCUAACUCCGUGCCAGCCGCCGCGGUAAAAC